AGCUAGGUCCUGUAAUAGGUGUCGUCCAGGACGAAGGUCUGGGAAUUUAAAAAUGCCAUGCAUUGGAAAAUUAGGGAUUAUUGGAUAGGAGCAGAAAUUUUGCCUUUCAGUAGACCAACUACGAACUCCUCAAAGAGUUGCAUUCUCUCUACAACUAGGCAUCGGAUUUAAUGUCCCCAUUCUGACCAGACGUGACAGCGUACUUAUACAUCCUGCACAGCCAAACGGACGACCAACAUUGGCAAGUCGGGUGAA
rnacentral:lncRNA from 1 species